UUUGAACGCUGGCGGCAGGCUUAACACAUGCAAGUCGAGCGGGGUGAUGGUGCUUGCACUAUCACUUAGCGGCGGACGGGUGAGUAAUGCUUAGGAAUCUGCCUAUAAGUGGGGGACAACAUCUCGAAAGGGAUGCUAAUACCGCAUACGUCCUACGGGAGAAAGCAGGGGAUCACUUGUGACCUUGCGCUAAUAGAUGAGCCUAAGUCGGAUUAGCUAGUUGGUGGGGUAAAGGCCUACCAAGGCGACGAUCUGUAGCGGGUCUGAGAGGAUGAUCCGCCACACUGGGACUGAGACACGGCCCAGACUCCUACGGGAGGCAGCAGUGGGGAAUAUUGGACAAUGGGGGGAACCCUGAUCCAGCCAUGCCGCGUGUGUGAAGAAGGCCUUAUGGUUGUAAAGCACUUUAAGCGAGGAGGAGGCUCUUUUGGUUAAUACCCAAGAUGAGUGGACGUUACUCGCAGAAUAAGCACCGGCUAACUCUGUGCCAGCAGCCGCAGUAA
rnacentral:rRNA from 1 species